GCGCCCGUAGCUCAACGGAUAGAGCAUCUGACUACGGAUCAGAAGGUUGGGGGUUCGAAUCCCUCCGGGCGCACGA
rnacentral:tRNA from 24 species